AAGAAGUGGAGCAAGGGAAAGCAAAAGGAGAUGGUGAAAAACGCAGUGCUGUUCGACCAGGCCACCUACGACAAGCCGCUCACCGAGGUGCCCAAGUACAAGCAGAUCACGCCCUCCGUCCUCUCCGAGCGCCUCAGAGUAACGCCCGCUCGCUGUCCUCCCUCCUUUGGAUCUAUCUCUUCUUGCUUGCUUGCUUUCUUCCCGUGA
rnacentral:rRNA from 1 species